UACGGAGGGUGCAAGCGUUAUCCGGAUUCACUGGGUUUAAAGGGUGCGUAGGUGGGUUGGUAAGUCAGUGGUGAAAUCUCCAGGCUCAACUUGGAAACUGCCAUUGAUACUAUUAAUCUUGAAUACCGUGGAGGUCAGCGGAAUAUGUCAUGUAGCGGUGAAAUGCUUAGAUAUGACAUAGAACACCAAUUGCGAAGGCAGCUGGCUACACGAAUAUUGACACUGAGGCACGAGAGCGUGGGGAUCAAACAGG
rnacentral:rRNA from 1 species